CUCUUUUCUUCCUUCCUCAACCCUUCUUCGCUUCGCUUCAUCUCAAUGGAGACAACUACUUCCACAACUAACCGUCCACGCCGCUCGUUUCGCUGCUCCUUCGUCACGCGCUGUUGUCGCUGCUUCUGCUGUUGCUACUCCUUCCCUUAACCAUAUGCAUCAUCUUCUCGGGGUGCCACACCUUGAAAUCCAUGUUGGAGAGGGAAGAGCAGAAACAGUUCAAGAAAAUAAGUAGGACACAGGUAAAUAUUUCUAAAGUUCUCAAGCUCUGUUGGUUGAAAGAAGAGAGAUUCACAGGGUUAAGAAAGUUGUUGCAACAUCAACGCCUCUUAAACCUUCCUUUAUGUGAAUGGUAAUGCUUAUCCAGAUUUAAUGAAGAUAUUGUACACCAAUUUAACAUUUGAAGGUGUUGUUCUGAAAUCUUAAGUGAAAGAAGUGGAUGUUGAUGUUUCUCAAUUUGUUUGGAAAGAGCUAGCUGGUUUGAAAAGUAUGAAGUGAUUCAAGUCAGUAAAGGCAACACAAGUGUUGUUGAGAAUCUCAAGAACGUUCAAUAUGCUAGAAGCUGUUUAGAGAAACAUACAAUAUUCAUCAGGGAUCCAAUACAGGUUCACUCAAACUUAAGAACGUCUACCUUUCUUCAUCGUAACAUGAUAGUUGUUUCGAUUUCAAGUUCGUUGAUAGAAUUAUUAUCGAUAAUCAUAUAUUUGAAAUAUGAUCUGAUUUGUAACAUUAGUUCUAUCACGGUUUUGUCUUUAAAAGACGUCUUAGAGGGAGGGUGGAAGGAGUAAAGAAUAUUUAAAUCUUAGAGAGUGGAAGGAGUAAAAAAUAUUUAAA